rnacentral:rRNA from 1 species
UUUCGAAUCAUUCACAAUAGGCGAAAGCCUGAUGGUGCGACGCCGCGUGAGGGAUGAAGGCCUUCGGGUUGUAAACCUCUGUCACCGGGGAAGAAACGCUUCAAGUUAACAGCUUGAAGCCUGACUUAACCCGGAGAGGAAGCAGUGGCUAACUCUGUGCCAGCAGCCGCGGUAAUACAGAGACUGCAAGCGUUAUUCGGAUUCACUGGGCGUAAAGGGUGCGCAGGCGGUUGGGUGUGUCAGAUGUGAAAUCCCGAGGCUUAACCUCGGAACUGCGUCUGAAACUACUCGACUAGAGUACUGGAGAGGGUAACGGAAUUCACGGUGUAGCAGUGAAAUGCGUAGAUAUCGUGAGGAACACCAGAGGCGAAGGCGGUUACCUGGACAGUUACUGACGCUCAGGCACGAAAGCAUGGGGAGCAAAAGGGAUUAGAUACCCCCGUAGUCCCUGAGCGGGCUGGCAAGGCGCAU